AGAAAUGAGCAGUCUGACACUUUGCAAAGAUUUGGUUCUUUUGAAUAGGCAUUUAGAAGCUAAGCAGGGUUGGGCCUGGUUAGUACUUGGAUGGAAGACCGCUGGGAAUACCAGGUGCAUUUCUG
rnacentral:rRNA from 1 species